rnacentral:rRNA from 1 species
UACGUAGGGGGCAAGCGUUGUCCGGAAUCAUUGGGCGUAAAGCGCGUGUAGGCGGUUCGGUAAGUCUGCUGUGAAAGUCCAGGGCUCAACCCUGGGAUGCCGGUGGUUACUGUCGAACUAGAGUACGGAAGAGGCGAGUGGAAUUCCCGGUGUAGCGGUGAAAUGCGCAGAUAUCGGGAGGAACACCAAUUGCGAAGGCAGCUCGCUGGGACGUCACUGACGCUGAGACGCGAAAGCGUGGGGAGCAAACAGG